AGAGUUUGAUUCUGGCUCAGGAUGAACGCUAGCGACAGGCUAACACAUGCAAGUCGAGGGGCAGCGCGGGGGUAGCAAUACUCUGGGCGGCGACCGGCGCACUGGUGAGUAACACGUAUGCGACCUGCCCCGGACAGGGGGAUAAACCCGGGAAACUGGGCCUAAUACCCCAUAUGCCCCGAGGGUGCAUGCCCUUUGGGUGAAAGAUCCGUCGGUCCGGGAUGGGCAUGCGGCGCAUUAGCUUGUUGGCGGGGCAACGGCCCACCAAGGCGACGAUGCGUAGGGGUUCUGAGAGGAAGGUCCCCCACACUGGUACUGAGACACGGACCAGACUCCUACGGGAGGCAGCAGUGAGGAAUAUUGGUCAAUGGACGGUAGUCUGAACUAGCCAAAGUCGCGUGCGGGAUGAAGGCCCUCCGGGUCGUAAACCGCUUUAGCCGGGGAGUAACGUGCGGAACGUGUUCCGCAGUGAGAGUACCCGGAGAAUAAGCAUCGGCUAACUCCGUGCCAGCCGCGGC
rnacentral:rRNA from 1 species